UUUAAAGGCCAACCACGGAGGAGUGAGCAUCUCUUGGACCUGGGCUGCUUUCUGAGGACGAGUGCUGUGUAGCUAGAGAGCCCCUUCAUCAGUUGGAAAACUGCAGUGAAGCUGUUUUACCCUCCCUGGGUCACCCUACCAAGCCAGACUGCACAGUGGGCUCUGCCUGGCUGGGGAUGGAGAAUGCACUGUCCUCCUCUCCUCUGGGUAUGCUGUGCUCUCCUGUGCUGGCCCAAACCCCUGCCUUGCUUCACCCCUAUUCUCUUCUGGGGUUGGCUUUCCCAGAGACGAACAGCAGCCUCCAAGAAAAAGCUGAGCAUCUUGACUCAGUAAGUUUGCUGUAGAGUUUGAAAACUAUUACGGUGAUCUGUGAAGCUGGAGCUCCCUGUGUUUAUUCAGCCAUGAAAAAGAGGGCCAUAGGGCUGCAGAUUGGAGUGAAUCUCCAGUGGACUUCAGGCACUGCAUUUAGAGGGAAGUUGCAUGUGCUUUUGCAAUGCACCAGGGACCCUUCUGCAGUCACUUUCACCUCACAGCAUCAGUCUGUGCAUGGCCAGCAGUUCCACUUUGCCAUGAUGUGAAGAGCUCUUUUGAGCAUGGAAGAAUCCACCCCAAACAGAAAGGAAGUCCCUGGCAGCAGUGCAGGGAGCUGGGCAGCAAUUGUGGAAUGGAGCAAAUUUACUGCGGGAUGUGGUUAAAGUGCCAUCCCCAACGUUGUUAGCAGGUGGUGAGAAGCCAUAAAGAACUGAUGGACUUCAGCAGGUCCUGCAGCGUUUUGAAUAAAGAGCUCAAAAAGGAUUAGAGAAGGGGAUGUCUGGCAGUUCUACCAGCAAAUGUAAUUUUUACAGCCCAUUGUCAUCUUCCCCCGGUGCCUUGCAUUUUGCAUAGUUAUGAACAGAUUUGUAAAGUGUGUGCAAAAUUGGCAUCCCCUCCAUCAAUAGUAAAAAUAGCAAACUCAAAGUGUGGCAUUUUAAAUGCCUGAAGUUGGUGUAAAUUGACUGCAAGACCUGCAGACGUCGCAGCACUGGGACACCUGUUCUAAUGUGCCUCAUAGGGUCUGUGACCACCUCCACAGGUGUGGUGUUUGUGUGUUCCUCUGCCUGUGAAGAGGGCCAAAGUAAAAUAAACCUUCCUGGCAAUUUGUU
ensembl:lncRNA